rnacentral:rRNA from 1 species
CACGUAGGCGGAUCUUUAAGUCAGGGGUGAAAUCCCGAGGCUCAACCUCGGAACUGCCUUUGAUACUGGGGAUAUCGAGUCCGGGAGAGGUGAGUGGAACUGCGAGUGUAGAGGUGAAAUUCGUAGAUAUUCGCAAGAACACCAGUGGCGAAGGCGGCUCACUGGCCCGGUACUGAUGCUGAGGUGCGAAAGCGUGGGGAGCAAACA